GAUCAUGGCUCAGAUUGAACGCUGGCGGCAGGCUUAACACAUGCAAGUCGAGCGGAGAUGAGGUGCUUGCACCUUAUCUUAGCGGCGGACGGGUGAGUAAUGCUUAGGAAUCUGCCUAUUAGUGGGGGACGACAUUCCGAAAGGGAUGCUAAUACCGCAUACGUCCUACGGGAGAAAGCAGGGGAUCUUCGGACCUUGCGCUAAUAGAUGAGCCUAAGUCGGAUUAG
rnacentral:rRNA from 1 species